rnacentral:rRNA from 1 species
UACGUAGGGUGCAAGCGUUAAUCGGAAUUACUGGGCGUAAAGCGUGCGUAGGCGGCAAUGUAAGACAGAUGUGAAAUCCCUGGGCUUAACCUAGGAACUGCAUUUGUGACUGCAUUGCUAGAGUGUGGUAGAGGGAGAUGGAAUUCCGCAUGUAGCAGUGAAAUGCGUAGAUAUCGGGAGGAAUACCGAUGGCGAAGGCAGGUCUCUGGGCUAUAACUGACGCUCAUGCACGAAAGCGUGGGGAGCAAACAGG